GCCAAUGGGCGGCGGGAGCGGGUGAGCAAGUUUAGUUGAGAGGCGAGGGGACGACGGCGCGCUGCGGAGGGAGGCGUGCCCGGCGGGAGCAGAGCGGAGCGGGGAGUCGGUGCCUGCGAGCCGGGAGUGCCCAGGGCCGGUACCACCCGCUCGGGGAGGGGAGCGCCGGUGGAACCGGCUCCCCCGGGAAGAAACGGCAGAGAAGGAUGAAGCUUCGCAGUGGCGUCUCCAGAGCGCGGACGCGGCCCGGCGAGCUGCCCUCGGCGCCGGACGCCUGAGGGAAGAGCCCCGCCCCCUCCGCCCCUCCAAUCAGGGAGCUCCAGCGCAGCCGGAACGCAAAGCACUGUGGGACGGCGGCGGGACGGCCAGAGGGUUACCGAGGCAACGGGCGGCGGCACCGGCCGGAGCGGGCCCUGGCCCGGGCUGGGCCCCGCGGGCGGCGGACAGAGGAUGCGGGCCGGGCCGGGAACGGCCGCGGGGCUCGGGAGCUCCGCUGCCGUCGGGGACGGCUCCUCGUUACCUCCCGGCAGUUAGGUGUCCGGUGCGCUCGGAACGGCAACUCCCGGUAGUGAUUCUCUGCCGCAACGAAACAGGCUGGUUCGCCCCUGUGUGGAGGAUGGGCAAAGGCCGGUACCGGCCCGCCGAGUAAGGAGCGAGGCAGCUGGGUGGUGCAACCGCUAUGGAUCACAAUAAUCUGCUUGAAAAGUCAAUCAGCCAAUAAAAGAGGAAGGAGGACCAUGGCGAGGUCUUGGGAGGGCUGGCGUGAGACAUCACAGGUGGACAUGGGAUGAAACUCGCUUACUACGCAGUGGGAGAGCAAGUAACUUAAUGUUUGCCUCCAUGUUUGCCCUUCUGUCAGAUCCCCAUGUUCCUCAAAGCUUCAGACACCAGCCGGGUCUUGUGUCUGCACUCCAGUCACCAACUCCAGUAGCAGCAGCUGCUCCUAAGUCCCAAUGAUAUUUUAUUAAUUUGAGUCUGCCACAAACCAUUUGCUUUUAGAAAUAAAGACUUGGUGGUGCAGAUUGAGAA